rnacentral:rRNA from 1 species
GAUGAACGCUGGUGGCGUGCCUAACACAUGCAAGUCGAGCGAUUCUCUUCGGAGAAGAGCGGCGGACGGGUGAGUAACGCGUGGGUAACCUGCCCUGUACACACGGAUAACAUACCGAAAGGUAUGCUAAUACGAGAUAACAUGCUUUUAUCGCAUGGUAGAAGUAUCAAAGCUUUUGCGGUACAGGAUGGACCCGCGUCUGAUUAGCUAGUUGGUGAGGUAACGGCUCACCAAGGCGACGAUCAGUAGCCGACCUGAGAGGGUGAUCGGCCACAUUGGAGCUGCGACACGGUCCAAACUCCUACGGGAGGCAGCAGUGGGGAAUAUUGCACAAUGGGCGAAAGCCUGAUGCAGCAACGCCGCGUGAGCGAUGAAGGCCUUCGGGUCGUAAAGCUCUGUCCUCAAGGAAGAUAAUGACGGUACUUGAGGAGGAAGCCCCGGCUAACUACGUG